rnacentral:lncRNA from 1 species
AUGAGGAAGACUUAGAGUAACGUAAUGGAAGCGUAAAUGUAUUAGAUUAUGAAUCUAAUUCAUCAUUGGAUGUUUCUUCAUUAUGAAUGAAGAGAUAAUUAGAUAUCUCUUUAUUAUGACCAAAGAGAUAUUUGGAUGGAAACAUUAAAAGUAAUGACUUUAGUGUGUUCCAUUAUGCAUGCAAAAUAUAUUGCCAUAAAGAAGCUUACAACAAUGUUGUUUGGAUGAGAAAGUUCAUUUAUGAACUCUCUAUUCGGUUCCAACCAGAAAGUAUCUCUAGUGUACCGACACUACGACACUAAUGGGGCGAUAGCUCAAGCCAGGGAAUCAAGGUCUCAUCAUGAUCCGAACUCAAAUGAAAGACUAAACCACAUGAGUAAGAAUCAUAUAUAAUGGUGACAUCGUUAUUCUCAAGGUUGCUUCUAUGGAUAACAUAUAGAUAUCCAUUGCCUAGGCCUACUACUCAGCCAUUUUUGAAAUGACUAUAGAAGAGGUAUCAUCAUUGAUGACCAAGCUGAUUGGCUCUAGUGCAAGUGGGAGAUUGUUAGAAAUUUGCCCUAAAACCAAUCAUAUGAUGAUACUUUAUGGACAUUUCACAUGUUAAACUAAUCUGGUUUAAUAUCAAGGGCAAAGAUUAUUGUUUUAAGCUGUCUCAUAUAAAUGUUAUAUGCUUAAACGAUAAGUCCAAGGAAUAUGUAAUUAGGAGAAUGUAAUUUAA